rnacentral:rRNA from 1 species
ACGAACGCUGGCGGCGUGCCUAAUACAUGCAAGUCGAACGGUCUUUCUAUGGAAGCUUGCUCCACUGAGAAGAUAGUGGCGAACGGGUGAGUAACACGUGGGUAACCUGCCCAUAAGAGGGGGAGUAACAUCCGGAAACGGGUGCUAAUACCGCUAUAGGUUUUCUUGAUCGCAUGAUCGGGAAAGGAAAGACGGCCUUUGUGCUGUCGCUUAUGGAUGGACCCGCGGCGUAUUAGUUAGUUGGUGAGGUAACGGCUCACCAAGACGAUGAUACGUAGCCGACCUGAGAGGGUGAUCGGCCACAUUGGGACUGAGACACGGCCCAAACUCCUACGGGAGGCAGCAGUAGGGAAUCUUCCGCAAUGGACGAAAGUCUGACGGAGCAACGCCGCGUGAGUGAAGAAGGUUUUCGGAAUCGUAAAACUCUGUUGUCAGAGAAGAACAAGUUGGAGAGUAACUGCUCCAGCCUUGACGGUAUCUGACCAGAAAGCCACGGCUAGCUACGUGCCAGCAGCUGC